CCAGGGUGCCCAGGGUGCCCAGGGCGCCGAGGGCCCGCCUCCCCGGCCCGCCUCCCUGGGGCCUUGGCUGGGCCCUGCUCCAGAUCCUGACACUGCUUGGCCAAGUUCCUCACCUCUCCUGGGGUGUAGGUUGCACUUUCUUCUCCAGCCUUUCUCCUCUGAGAGCCGCUGGCGUGGAUGGAUGGAUGGAUGGAUCCACUCAAAGAUGGAUAAGAAAAGUAGCACGGAAACAGGUAAGCAGUGCAGGAAGCGGAAGGGCAACUAUGGCAAGCGUCAGCCUGGGGUUGGGAAGAACGUUAACAGAGAGUAGCAACUGAGGGAAGAACACCUUAAAUUGUUACCAGAACUAAGUAGAAAUAAAGAAAUUCUCAUCUCAGAUACA
rnacentral:lncRNA from 12 species